rnacentral:rRNA from 1 species
CGCCUGUUUAUUAAAAACAUGGCCUAUUGAAAAUAAUUUUAGGUCGUACCUGCUCAAUGAUCUAAAGAUUAAAUAGCUGCAGUAAUUUGACUGUGCAAAGGUAGCAUAAUCACUAGUUUUUUAAUUGAAAGCUUGAAUGAAAGGUUUGAUGAAAAAAAUGCUGUCUCUAUAAAAAUUUAUUAGAAAUUUAUUUUUAAGUAAAAAAGCUUAAAUACAUAUAGAAGACGAGAAGACCCUAUAGAGUUUUAUAGUAAUAUAAAUAAAUAAAGUUUUAGGAUUAAUAAGUUUAUUUAUAAAAUUAUUUGGUUGGGGUGAUAGAAAAAUUAAAUAAACUUUUUUUAUAAAUUAUCAUAAAUUUAUGAAUAAUUGAUCCUUAAUUAAAGAUUAAAAGAUUAAAUUACCUUAGGGAUAACAGCGUAAUUUUUUUAAAAGUUCUAAUUGAAAAAGAAGAUUGCGACCUCGAUGUUGGAUUAAAAUUAAUUAUUGGUGUAGAAGCUAAUAAAUUAGGUCUGUUCGACCUUUAAAAUUUUACAUGAUCUGAGUUUAAACCGGUGUGAGCCAGGUCGGUUUCUAUCU